rnacentral:rRNA from 1 species
UACAGAGGAGCCAAGCGUUGUCCGGAUUGACUGGGCGUAAAGCGCACGCAGGCGGAGGCGCGCGUGGGGUGUGAAAUCUGGCCGCUUAACGGCCAGGCGCCAUCCCAUACGGCGCCUCUGGAGGGCUGCAGAGGUCGAUGGAAUUGCCGGUGUAGUGGUGAAAUGCGUAGAGAUCCGGAGGAACACCAGUGGCGAAGGCGACACGCUGGGCCGUACCUGGCACUGAUGCGCGACAGCAUGGGGAGCAAACAGG